rnacentral:rRNA from 1 species
AUUGAACGCUGGCGGCAUGCCUUACACAUGCAAGUCGAACGGCAGCACGGGUGCUUGCACCUGGUGGCGAGUGGCGAACGGGUGAGUAAUACAUCGGAACAUGUCCUGUAGUGGGGGAUAGCCCGGCGAAAGCCGGAUUGAUACCGCAUACGAUCUACGGAUGAAAGCGGGGGACCUUCGGGCCUCGCGCUUUAGGGUUGGCCGAUGGCUGAUUAGCUAGUUGGUGGGGUAAAGGCCUACCAAGGCGACGAUCAGUAGCUGGUCUGAGAGGACGACCAGCCACACUGGAACUGAGACACGGCCCAGACUCCUACGGGAGGCAGCAGUGGGGAAUUUUGGACAAUGGGCGAAAGCCUGAUCCAGCAAUGCCGCGUGUGUGAAGAAGGCCUUCGGGUUGUAAAGCACUUUUGUCCGGAAAGAAAUCCUUGGCCCUAAUACGGUCGGGGGAUGACGGUACCGGAAGAAUAAGCACCGGCUAACUACGUG